UACGUAGGGUGCGAGCGUUGUCCGGAAUUAUUGGGCGUAAAGGGCUCGUAGGCGGCUUGUCGCGUCUGCUGUGAAAGCCCGGGGCUUAACUCCGGGUCUGCAGUGGAUACGGGCAGGCUAGAGUCCGGCAGGGGAGACUGGAAUUCCUGGUGUAGCGGUGGAAUGCGCAGAUAUCAGGAGGAACACCGGUGGCGAAGGCGGGUCUCUGGGCCGGUACUGACGCUGAGGAGCGAAAGCGUGGGGAGCGAAC
rnacentral:rRNA from 1 species